rnacentral:misc_RNA from 1 species
CAACCUUCAAGCUUAGCUUGGUCUUGGGCACUGCCGGUAACGGCUUGCCUUAAAAUCAGUGGCGGUGCCAUUUGAGCUCUACGCGUAGUAAUAUUAAACCCUCGCGAUUGAGUCUUGUGGAUCAUUGCCAGCAACUCUUAAUAUUUUAU